AGGUCCCAAGGGUAUGGCUGUUCGCCAUUUAAAGUGGUACGCGAGCUGGGUUUAGAACGUCGUGAGACAGUUCGGUCCCUAUCUGCCGUGCGCGUUGGAUAUUUGAGAGGAGUUGCUCCUAGUACGAGAGGACCGGAGUGAACGAACCUCUGGUGUUCGGGUUGUCACGCCAGUGGCAUUGCCCGGUAGCUAUGUUCGGAAAGGAUAACCGCUGAAAGCAACUAAGUGGGAAGCCUUCCUCAAGAUGAGAUAUCCCUGAACCUUCGGGUUCCUGAAGAGCCGUUCAAGACUAGGACGUUGAUAGGCAGGGUGUGUAAGUGCUGUAAAGCAUUGAGCUAACCUGUACUAAUUGCUCGUGAGGCUUAACUU
rnacentral:rRNA from 1 species